GACGAACGCUGGCGGCGUGCCUAAUACAUGCAAGUCGAACGAAGCUGUUUUAACUGGUGCUUGCACCGACUUAAACAACUGAGUGGCGAACGGGUGAGUAACACGUGGGUAACCUGCCCCAAAGCGGGGGAUAACAUUUGGAAACAGAUGCUAAUACCGCAUAACCACAGAAACAACAGGGUUUCUGGGUCAAAGAUGGUCUCGGCUCUCACUUUGGGAUGGAACCGCGGCGUAUUAGCUAGUUGGUAAGGUAAUGGCUUACCAAGGCAGUGAUACGUAGCCGAACUGAGAGGUUGAUCGGCCACAUUGGGACUGAGACACGGCCCAAACUCCUACGGGAGGCAGCAGUAGGGAAUCUUCCACAAUGGACGAAAGUCUGAUGGAGCAACGCCGCGUGAGUGAAGAAGGUUUUCGGAUCGUAAAACUCUGUUGCCAGAGAAGAACGUGUGCGAGAGUAACUGUUCGUGCAGUGACGGUAUCUGGCCAGAAAGCCACGGCUAACUACGUGCCAGCCGCCGCGGUAA
rnacentral:rRNA from 1 species